UAUAUUUAUUGAAACCAAAACCGAUGUUUAGUAUAUACUGUUUUUAAACCGCACAACAGAAAUUUCUCGCGCCUGCGUCCUUGUUCCUUUCGCUCGUCAUCAACGCUGUGUGCAACGGUAAAGCUAACUGUCGUGCAGUCUCGCUCACGCACGCUGCAUUUCGCUCUCGUCGCUUGCUGCGAGUGUUUCGUUUCCUCCGAUCAAAGAAUAUUUUGUAGUUUUUCCACCGAAUGCAGGCUCAAUUGCUGCGCAAAAACACAAAAAAAAACUAGCGACCAAGGGUCCCAAAAGUUAAAAAAGCUCCAAAAACACCGGAAAGUGUCGUUUUGCAUCGGUGAACAGCAAAAGGACAAGCGCCGCAGCAAAGUGAAAAAAAACGUAGGGAGUUCUGGAGUGAAUGGGAGUGAGAGGGAAGGAGCGCCAUCGCGGUGGUGGGUGUACGUGCGCGAGUAUUGGUGCUGUGUCCAUAUCCGUGUUAUCGCCAGCAGCAUUAAACUGCUCCAAUUCGUGGCGCACGCGCAGGAUAACUCGCGCUCUCUUGCUCUCUUUCUCGACUUAGAAGAGGAACAGGAUAUUUUAUUAUACUGAAAUUCGUACGCAGCAAAUUCGCAUAGUUGCGAAAGCUUCGCGCUGCCACACGGACGCAUUCCGCUACGGGCUCCCCGCACACCCACACACUCUCACACCCGCCCGCCGCGAACCCACACACACGCGCCCGCAAGCACCCUCGCGCACAGAUCAAUGAAAAGCCAAAAAAGUAAAUUGCACUUUUUCCGGGAACCAAAAACAUGUUGAAAUUAUCUCACAAGUUGCGCAAAAAAUGCCGCAGCAAAAAAGUUGCAUGGAAAGCCGUGAAAGCGACGAAACUGUGAAACGAAACGAAAGGCAACGAAUGACGGCGGAGAAAGGAGCAAAGAGAGGCUGCAAGGAUGUACUGCUUCUCGGAAUCGCAAGCCAUUGACCACCGAACCAGCGAUACGUCUCUAACAACAAAAAACCCGCACCUAGCCAAUUGCAUUUCGCAUUUUGCAUUUUGCAUUCUCACUGCCCCCGGAAGUAAAAGCAGCUUCAGCGGAAAUUAAAACAAAUCGAAGCUGAAAUAAAAGCCAGAGCUAGCGAGCGAACGAGAUAGAAAUAGAUAGAGAGGAAGAGAGAUAAAGAGAAAGAGAGAGCUACCAGAGAGAGCAAGUGCAUCCUUUUCACAACGCGGCACACAUUCACGACCGGUGACUGCAACUAGCCCACUCCCACACCUCCGCCCCCCUUCACCCCGGCCCCAGUUGUCCCUUGCAAUUUGUGAUCUCAUGUUUUCAUAACUUGGGCAGCAGCCGUUGGCACGGAUUAGACGGAAAACGUCAAGCGUCAGGACGUGAGGAGGUGUACCCAGUUCCAAAGUGCAGGAACACUCCACUCGCAACGAAACCGGAACUGGCAUUUUUAUAUCGCAUUUUUGUAAGGAACCAAGAGGAACGUGUUCAGCAUUGACCAAAUGCCAUCGCUAGCAGCUCUAGUUGGACGAGCAAGCAAAUACGGCAAUUAACAGAAGUUGCCUUCAAACGAAACCCCACCCAAGGCGAAGGAAGAGGAAGGACAGGAACGAAGGACGAUAUUCCCAAUCGGAUCCCCACUAAUAAAUGCAGUGGAAGAAGAAGUUUACUCGAUUGAAAGCAGCUACUGGAAAUUCGCGUGUGCGAAGAAUGCUUUGUUGUGGACGCAGAAAGGAGAAUGGAAGAUCAGUUCCUGAUGUCACCGCAAGCCCGGGUCGGGCCCCGCCCGGACCGCUGCCCGCCAACCAGCUGCCUUCGAUGGGCAACCAGCAGCACCAUGGCAACCAGCAACAUCAUGGAAACCAGCAGCAACACCAUGGCAAUCAGCACGGCAACCAUCGAGGUCAGAGCGGAAGUCUGUCGAACGCCGCCGGGGUCAAGGACCCGGUGAUGCUCCAGGGCGAUUUCCGGAAAGUCAGCGGCAUCAGCUCGGAGAUCUUCCGGCAGAUAGAGGCCGUCGAGAAUGACCACGACCCAAACACGGCCGCGGCCUUGGAGGCGGUGGAGCGGCGCGGUGAGAUGAUCGUGCGCGUCCUGGAGCCACGUUGCAUGGGCAGCAAACAGGCGGUGGACGCAGCCCACAAGCUGAUGAACAAGGCGGACGCACGGCACACCGUGCAGCUGGUGGAGAUUGUCAAGCGGCCGGGUCAGACGCUGGGCUUGUACAUCCGCGAGGGAAAUGGAGCCGACCGCACCGAUGGCGUGUUCAUCUCGCGGAUUGCCCUGGAGUCGGCUGUCUACAACAGCGGCUGCUUGCGGGUGGGCGAUGAAAUCCUUGCGGUGAAUCUGGUGGACGUGACCCACAUGUCCCUGGACGAUGUCGUCAUUAUUAUGUCAAUUCCGCGCCGCUUGGUGCUGGCGAUACGUCAGCGGCGAGGCAACAGAGGCACAGGAUCUCCUGGACCGCCGACGCUCUCCCGACCAGAACAGAAGCCCCCACCGGUUGUGGUCAUCAAGCGAGAUUUGCGGGACGAGGAUCUGGACGAGACGGACCGGAUGCCGAGGCCGCGCUCAUCACGUGACAGACGUACAGGUAGAGACGGUCGCGAGAUGACGGAAUCUCGAUCUCGGCUAGGUCUGGGCCUCAACAAUUACAGUCCGCAGUCCGAGCAGCUGGACAUGUACUACAAUACCCGCGGCGGAGGUGGUGGACCCAUGGGCGAGCCGCCCAACUGGGGCUAUAAGCCACCACCGCCACCGUCAUCCGUGAUUACGGAGCAACCCACAAAGGCACAUGCUUUUGCGCCGUCGCAUGCCUACUACCAAAAUGCGGGCACUCUUGAAAGCCUCGCGGAGAAGGUACAUGCAUUCUAUCCUGGACAGCCUGGUGCUCCGCCCGUGGGUCCCUCGAGAAGAAUGUCCACGGGCACUGGGAACGUUGGCCUCGCUCAGCAACAUGCCAGAUUUCCGCGGUCUGGCUCAGAUCAGCAUUUACCUCGCGUAGAAUAUGCGGACUAUUCCAAUUCCCUGGGACGCCAUUCCCUUCUACGAUCAAGCUUAAAACCUGGAACGGCCGGUGGAGCUCCCAUGCAGGUGGGAGUGGGAGGCACUCUUGGCCGGUACGGGCGCUAUGAUCAACAGAGAGCCGGUGUAUCCAAGUACGGCCCUCCAUCUGGCGGAGCUCAAUCGCUGACCCGUCGUUCCAGACCAAAUUUGGACUAUUCCAGCGAUACGGAAGCCACAAUUGGGCCCAGGCCAAGUUACUACUACUACAACAGACCUGCCAUCGGCAGCAUGUCAAGGGGAUCAGGUGGAGCAGGCGGAGUUGGCGCAGCAUCAACGGCAGCCUUGCUGGCCGGAGCUGCGGAUCUCAAUAAAUUCAACUCAUUGCCCCGAGAGCGUCCCGGCACGAGAUUGCAGGGCAUUCGCUCCAGAAUGGGAGAUCGUUUGGUGGACGAGAAUGACGGUAAUACCUCGGCACCCGAGUUCGAUGCACGGAGGGGUAGGGAUUUGCGUCAGCGAAUUACCGCCAGUCCGUCGAUAUUCACGGCGGAUGAGUACCGCGCCUGGCUCAGAAGGGCACCUAGCAGUUCAGCAAUUGCGGAGCAAAUGCGAAUGACGCGGGACAUGUUUGCCCAGCCACGGGCCCAAAGAUUCUCAUGUAGCGCUGAGAACAUCCACGAUGCACUGCGAAAUACGGAAAGCAUCUACUCCAGUAGAACCCAUAUCCUUGGCACGGGCACUCUCGAUCGGAACAUGGGUCUCACCCGACCAAUUUCUGCGCUACCGGUCCGCUCCAUGUCCUCGCAGCACAUUGGAGGAGCGGGCUCCAUUCGUUCGCCGAGCAUACGGCGCAUGCGGCAGUUACUGGAGCUCUCCGCAGGUCCCGCCAGCCCGAGCGGCAGCAUUCUGAGCACCGGUGGUCACCAGAGUCCAGCACCAACACCAAGUGCCACCUUGCCACGCCCACACCGCCAGAUCGACAUUAACCCGGCGGAGUUCGCCAAGUACAAGCUGGAUAAGCCCAUCGUUGAUAUUGGAGGGAUCUCCGGCAUGUUAUGGAUUCACUUGCUGGCAGGUCGCGGCCUUAGAACCGCUCCAGAGGGAGCAGCAGGGGCGGCGCCACAGGGCCAAACCAGAGAUCUGUACUGCGUAAUCGAGUGCGAUCGCGUACAUAAGGCACGGACGGUGGUGCGAUCGGGUGACCUGCAGUUCGACUGGGACGAGUCGUUCGAGCUUGACUUGGUGGGCAACAAACAGUUGGAUGUACUAGUCUACUCAUGGGAUCCGCAGCACAGACACAAGCUGUGCUACCGAGGCGCCAUUUCGCUGUCGUCAAUCCUCCGUCAGUCGCCACUGCAUCAACUGGCCUUGAAGGUUGAGCCAAGGGGGACGAUAUACAUUCGCAUGCGGCACACGGAUCCACUGGCUCUUUACAAGAGGAGGGGACUUCCGAGCCUGAGGGCAGGUUACCCCACGCUCUUCGGCGCUGAUCUGGAAACGGUGGUCAAUCGGGAGUCUAAGAAUGCUCCCGGAAGUGCACCCGUUCCCAUCGUAUUGAGGCGCUGUGUGGAGGAGGUGGAGCGCCGUGGUCUGGAUAUAAUCGGGUUGUACCGACUGUGCGGCUCGGCUACCAAGAAGCGAUUGCUACGCGAGGCCUUCGAGCGCAAUAGCCGUGCAGUGGAAUUGACCCCGGAACAUGUUCCUGACAUCAACGUCAUCACCGGCGUCCUCAAGGAUUACCUCAGGGAACUGCCCGAGCCGCUGUUCACGCGCUGUCUUUUCCAGAUGACGGUGGAUGCCUUAGCUGUCUGCCUACCAGAUGACCCGGAGGGCAAUGCGAAACUGAUGCUUAGCAUUCUCGACUGCCUGCCGCGGGCAAACAGGGCCACCCUGGUAUUCCUCCUUGAUCACCUCUCGCUGGUCGUUUCAAACUCGGAGCGGAACAAGAUGUCCGCCCAGGCGUUGGCCACCGUGAUGGGCCCACCGCUGAUGCUGCAUUCGGCGAGUGCGCAGCCGGGUGCUGAUAUCGAUCACGCUCAGCCGAUCGCGGUGCUUAAGUAUCUGCUGCAGAUCUGGCCGCAGCCGCAGGCGCAGCAUCAGCAGAUGGCGCAGCACAUGGGCGGCGCUGCGGGCGCGAUGAUGGGCGGCUUGGUCACCGCCGGGAGCAUGAGCAAUAUGGCCGGUGUUGCUUCAGACAGGUCGGCGCGGCGAGUCAACAGGGCAGCGUGGAAGCAAAGUCAGUGCGUUGCCAGCGGACAGACAGCAACUUCUACUGCAGCAGCAGGCGCAGCUCAUGGCGGCGGGCAAUCUUCUGCGCUCGUCCACUUCGCCCUAUCAAUUGGGGGCCUCAGUGGGCUCAGCAAUUCCCGACCCAUCGCCACUGCCACUUCCAGGCACACCCUCCCCCGGCAGUAGCUCAGCGUCGACGGGUUCGGGCUCGGGCUCGGGCUCCGGAUCGGGUAAAAGCACGGAUACCAUCAAGCGCGGUGCUUCGCCUGUAUCCGUUAAGCAAGUCAAGAUCGUCGACCAGCCAUCCAGUCCAUACUCCAUUGUGA
rnacentral:misc_RNA from 1 species